UGGAUACUAGUAAGUUUUAACCUGCUCAGCCACAAUGGGAACUCCACAAUUCUCUUUUAAUUAGAAAAAUGUUUGAUAAACCCAAAAUAAUUAAAACACCUAAUCAUGCUUCACACUUUGUCUUAUUACCCCACAGACCACAUGAGACAAGAGAAAGACCCCUCGAAACUUAUAUUCCAUUUGCUACAAUUGACCAUCUGGGGAAAGCAGACAAAGACCAAACUUCCAGAAACUUGGAGACAGGGAGAGCACAGAGGAUCUUCCGCUGCUCUCAUCGGGGGCAGGAGCCAAGCCUGGCAUUGUUGGAACUGGAGAGAGACGUGCUAGAGUGCAGAAUGUUCAUCGGGGUGAAUGGAAAGAUGUAGAAGAAAUGUGCUUACAAGGUCUGGACCUUAACCCUCUGAACCACCGCAGAACUCCACCACCCAUGUUUUAAACUGGGCUCUUUCCCAAGAUUUUACUGCUGUCCUGAGUGCACCCGCCAGCGGCAAGGGCACUGUCACCUUUCUUACACUCUGCCCCCUUCACCACGCCAGUGUUAAGACUUCAUCAAGCUAGCCUGGGAUCAUUUCUCCCUGCCUAACCUGGAUGGAGACCAGGAUGCUGUGUCCUACUGUGGAAGACUGGUAUCGUGCCCAAGGGGGAUUGCUACACCAAAAUCAAGUAAGAGGUGUGUGUUUGUUGUGUGCCUUAGAAAGAAAGGUCUGGUGCUAGCACCGCCCAUGAACACGGUUCAACAUGAGUUCCUGAGUCCAGAGCCGAGAGCAGCUGUAAGUCUCCCCUCCUCCUUAGUCCAUCAUGGUCUUUGGGGAACAAAAGUGCCCAGACAUCUCUCCCUGUCGAUUAGCAAGCUGCUGUAUUUACCAAUAAACAUCUGCCUUCUAAAGGGAAAGCAUUUAUUCAACACACUGCUCUUCAGAGAUUUAUAGAUGCAGCUUGUCUUGCCAUUGCUCUAAAUCACGACCCCCUUCUUUGUCCUCCUCUAUUGCUCUUUUCUGAAGAUUUACUUUUUGAGGGGUUCCCAUUGUGGCUCAGUGGUAACAAACCCAACUAGUGUCCAUGAGGAUGCAGGUUUGAUCCCUGGCCUCACUCAGUGGGUUAGGGAUC